GACGAACGCUGGCGGCGUGCUUAACACAUGCAAGUCGAGCGGUAAGGCCCUUUUGGGGGUACACGAGCGGCGAACGGGUGAGUAACACGUGGGUGACCUGCCCUCAGCUCUGGGAUAAGCCUGGGAAACUGGGUCCAAUACUGGAUAUGACCUUUCCUCGCAUGGGGUUGGGUGGAAAGCUUUUCGGCUGGGGAUGGGCCCGCGGCCUAUCAGCUUGUUGGUGGGGUGAUGGCCUACCAAGGCGACGACGGUAGCCGGCCUGAGAGGGCGACCGGCCACACUGGGACUGAGACACGGCCCAGACUCCUACGGGAGGCAGCAGUGGGGAAUAUUGCGCAAUGGGCGGAAGCCUGACGCAGCGACGCCGCGUGGGGAUGACGGCCUC
rnacentral:rRNA from 1 species